rnacentral:tRNA from 3 species
AUUUAUAUAGUUUAAAAAACAUUACAUUUUCAUUGUAAAAUUAAGAAAAUUUUUCUUUAUAAAUA